GGUUAAGCGACUAAGCGUACACGGUGGAUGCCCUGGCAGUCAGAGGCGAUGAAGGACGUGCUAAUCUGCGAAAAGCGCCGGCGAGGUGAUAUGAACCUUUGACCCGGCGAUGUCCGAAUGGGGAAACCCAGUGCAAUUCGUUGCACUAUCGUUAACUGAAUACAUAGGUUAACGAGGCGAACCGGGGGAACUGAAACAUCUAAGUACCCCGAGGAAAAGAAAUCAACCGAGAUUCCCCCAGUAGCGGCGAGCGAACGGGGAGCAGCCCAGAGUCUGAAUCAGCUUGUGUGUUAGUGGAAGCGUCUGGAAAGUCGCACGGUACAGGGUGACAGUCCCGUACACGAAAGCACACAGGUUGUGAACUCGAAGAGUAGGGCGGGACACGUGGUAUCCUGUCUGAAUAUGGGGGGACCAUCCUCCAAGGCUAAAUACUCCUGACUGACCGAUAGUGAACCAGUACCGUGAGGGAAAGGCGAAAAGAACCCCGGCGAGGGGAGUGAAAAAGAACCUGAAACCGUGUACGUACAAGCAGUGGGAGCACCUUCGUGGUGUGACUGCGUACCUUUUGUAUAAUGGGUCAGCGACUUAUAUUCUGUAGCAAGGUUAACCGUAUAGGGGAGCCGAAGGGAAACCGAGUCUUAACUGGGCGUUAAGUUGCAGGGUAUAGACCCGAAACCCGGUGAUCUAGCCAUGGGCAGGUUGAAGGUUGGGUAACACUAACUGGAGGACCGAACCGACUAAUGUUGAAAAAUUAGCGGAUGACUUGUGGCUGGGGGUGAAAGGCCAAUCAAACCGGGAGAUAGCUGGUUCUCCCCGAAAGCUAUUUAGGUAGCGCCUCGUGAACUCAUCUUCGGGGGUAGAGCACUGUUUCGGCUAGGGGGCCAUCCCGGCUUACCAACCCGAUGCAAACUACGAAUACCGAAGAAUGUUAUCACGGGAGACACACGGCGGGUGCUAACGUCCGUCGUGAAGAGGGAAACAACCCAGACCGCCAGCUAAGGUCCCAAAGUCAUGGUUAAGUGGGAAACGAUGUGGGAAGGCACAGACAGCCAGGAUGUUGGCUUAGAAGCAGCCAUCAUUUAAAGAAAGCGUAAUAGCUCACUGGUCGAGUCGGCCUGCGCGGAAGAUGUAACGGGGCUAAACCAUGCACCGAAGCUGCGGCAGCGACGCUUAUGCGUUGUUGGGUAGGGGAGCGUUCUGUAAGCCGUUGAAGGUGUCCUGUGAGGGGUGCUGGAGGUAUCAGAAGUGCGAAUGCUGACAUAAGUAACGAUAAAGCGGGUGAAAAGCCCGCUCGCCGGAAGACCAAGGGUUCCUGUCCAACGUUAAUCGGGGCAGGGUGAGUCGACCCCUAAGGCGAGGCCGAAAGGCGUAGUCGAUGGGAAACAGGUUAAUAUUCCUGUACUUGGUGUUACUGCGAAGGGGGGACGGAGAAGGCUAUGUUAGCCGGGCGACGGUUGUCCCGGUUUAAGCAUGUAGGCGGAACGAUUAGGUAAAUCCGGUCGUUUAUUAACGCUGAGGUGUGAUGACGAGGCACUACGGUGCUGAAGUAACAAAUGCCCUGCUUCCAGGAAAAGCCUCUAAGCAUCAGGUAACAUCAAAUCGUACCCCAAACCGACACAGGUGGUCAGGUAGAGAAUACCAAGGCGCUUGAGAGAACUCGGGUGAAGGAACUAGGCAAAAUGGUGCCGUAACUUCGGGAGAAGGCACGCUGAUAUGUAGGUGAAGCCCCUGCGGGUGGAGCUGAAAUCAGUCGAAGAUACCAGCUGGCUGCAACUGUUUAUUAAAAACACAGCACUGUGCAAACACGAAAGUGGACGUAUACGGUGUGACGCCUGCCCGGUGCCGGAAGGUUAAUUGAUGGGGUUAGCGGCAACGCGAAGCUCUUGAUCGAAGCCCCGGUAAACGGCGGCCGUAACUAUAACGGUCCUAAGGUAGCGAAAUUCCUUGUCGGGUAAGUUCCGACCUGCACGAAUGGCGUAAUGAUGGCCAGGCUGUCUCCACCCGAGACUCAGUGAAAUUGAACUCGCUGUGAAGAUGCAGUGUACCCGCGGCAAGACGGAAAGACCCCGUGAACCUUUACUAUAGCUUGACACUGAACACUGGUCCUUGAUGUGUAGGAUAGGUGGGAGGCUUUGAAGCGUGGACGCCAGUCUGCGUGGAGCCAACCUUGAAAUACCACCCUUUAAUGGCUGGUGUUCUAACGUAGACCCGUAAUCCGGGUUGCGGACAGUGUCUGGUGGGUAGUUUGACUGGGGCGGUCUCCUCCCAAAGAGUAACGGAGGAGCACGAAGGUUAGCUAAUCCUGGUCGGACAUCAGGAGGUUAGUGCAAUGGCAUAAGCUAGCUUGACUGCGAGAGUGACGGCUCGAGCAGGUGCGAAAGCAGGUCAUAGUGAUCCGGUGGUUCUGAAUGGAAGGGCCAUCGCUCAACGGAUAAAAGGUACUCCGGGGAUAACAGGCUGAUACCGCCCAAGAGUUCAUAUCGACGGCGGUGUUUGGCACCUCGAUGUCGGCUCAUCACAUCCUGGGGCUGAAGUAGGUCCCAAGGGUAUGGCUGUUCGCCAUUUAAAGUGGUACGCGAGCUGGGUUUAGAACGUCGUGAGACAGUUCGGUCCCUAUCUGCCGUGGGCGCUGGAGAAUUGAGGGGGGCUGCUCCUAGUACGAGAGGACCGGAGUGGACGCAUCACUGGUGUUCGGGUUGUCAUGCCAAUGGCACUGCCCGGUAGCUAAAUGCGGAAAAGAUAAGUGCUGAAAGCAUCUAAGCACGAAACUUGCCCCGAGAUGAGUUCUCCCUGACUCCUUGAGAGUCCUGAAGGAACGUUGAAGACUACGACGUUGAUAGGUCGGGUGUGUAAGCGCAGCGAUGCGUUGAGCUAACCGAUACUAAUGAACCGUGAGGCUUAACCUU
rnacentral:rRNA from 1 species